AUAUCAUAAAAUAUAAGAAUAAGGGCUGAAAUUAAAUUCCCGAGCCUAGGGGCAAAAUUGUAAUUUUGAAAAAGUUAGGGGGCAAAAAUGUAAUUUUUCCAUGAUGUGAUUUUUGGAUUGAAAUAAAUAGUAUGAGUAUUAAAUGAGCUAAAUGUGUUAUUAUAGAUCAAGAAAGACGCGGAAUUGAUCUCGAACGGGGGAAGGAAAAAGUUUUGGACUAAAUUGCAAAAUUUCCACAUUUUGCACCAAGUGUUCUUCGGCUUGCUCAGGAGUUAAGGAUCGUGAAGAUCUAUCCGCACUAUCAUACUUUAGGGUAUUUGAACUAAACGUUUUGAAUUAUGGCAUGUAUAGUAGGCUUAAUUAUUUUGUUACGUGUCAUAUUUGUCUAGGUUUAAAAUAUUAGUUACAGUACUCGACCAGCUAAUUUUUACAAGGCAUUAAAGUUGGCUAAUAUUGUUCAAGACAUAUAUUAUACGAUGCACUAUCAAAUUGGAUGACAUAUUUAUAUUUCGGUUAUGUUUAA